rnacentral:rRNA from 1 species
AGUUGCGAAGGCGGCUCUCUGGACUGUAACUGACGCUGAGGCACGAAAGCGUGGGGAGCAAACAGGAUUAGAUACCCUGGUAGUCCACGCUGUAAACGAUGAGUACUAGGUGUCGGGGGUUACCCCCCUCGGUGCCGCAGCUAACGCAUUAAGUACUCCGCCUGGGAAGUACGCUCGCAAGAGUGAAACUCAAAGGACUUGACGGGGACCCGCACAAGUAGCGGAGCAUGUGGUUUAAUUCGAAGCAACGCGAAGAACCUUACCUAAGCUUGACAUCCCAAUGACAUCUCCUUAAUCGGAGAGUUCCCUUCGGGGACAUUGGUGACAGGUGGUGCAUGGUUGUCGUCAGCUCGUGUCGUGAGAUGUUGGGUUAAGUCCCGCAACGAGCGCAACCCUUGUCUUUAGUUGCCAUCAUUAAGUUGGGCACUCUAGAGA